GAUGAAGAACGUAGCGAAAUGCGAUAAGUAAUGUGAAUUGCAGAAUUCAGUGAAUCAUCGAGUCUUUGAACGCACAUUGCGCCCAUUAGUAUUCUAGUGGGCAUGCCUGUUCGAGCGUCAUUAAGUCCACUUAAGCCCUGCUUAGUGUUGGGAGACUGCUCCAGCGGUGCUACCCUGUAGCUACCCUGCAGCUCCUCAAAGACAGCGGCGGAGUUGUGGUAUCCUCUGAGCUUAGUAACUUGUUCUAGCUUUCGAGUACACCACUUCCCCUGCCGUAAAACCCUUAAUUUUUAAUGGUUGACCUCGGAUCAGGUAGGAAUACCCGCUGAACUUAAGCAUAUCAAUAAGCGGAGGA
rnacentral:misc_RNA from 1 species